ensembl:snoRNA SNORA70 Small nucleolar RNA SNORA70
UUGCAGCCGAUCAAGUCGACUAUGUUCUUUUCCCCAGACCAGCCCCGUGUACAGUGGCUGCAAAUAGCAGCCUCCUCAGCAGUGCACACAGCCUGCCUGCAGAGGCUGCCCUAAGCGACGCUGGAGAAAACC